rnacentral:rRNA from 1 species
GAUGAACGCUGGCGGUAUGCUUAACACAUGCAAGUCGAACGGACUCUUCGGAGUUAGUGGCGGACGGGUGAGUAACGCGUGAGAAUCUGGCUUUGGGUUCGGGACAACCACUGGAAACGGUGGCUAAUACCGGAUGUGCCGAGAGGUAAAAGAGAAAUUGCCUGAAGAUGAGCUCGCGUCUGAUUAGCUAGUUGGUGAGGUAAAGGCUCACCAAGGCAGCGAUCAGUCGCUGGUCUGAGAGGAUGACCAGCCACACUGGGACUGAGACACGGCCCAGACUCCUACGGGAGGCAGCAGUGGGGAAUUUUCCGCAAUGGGCGAAAGCCUGACGGAGCAAUACCGCGUGGGGGAAGAAGGCUCUUGGGGUGUAAACCUCUUUUCUUAGGGAAGAACAAAAUGACGGUACCUAAGGAAUCAGCAUCGGCUAACUCCGUG